UACGGGGGGGGCAAGCGUUGUUCGGAAUUACUGGGCGUAAAGGGCUCGUAGGUGGCCAACUAAGUCAGACGUGAAAUCCCUCAGCUUAACUGGGGAACUGCGUCUGAUACUGGAUGGCUUGAGUUUGGGAGAGGGGUGCGGAAUUCCAGGUGUAGCGGUGAAAUGCGUAGAUAUCUGGAGGAACACCGGUGGCGAAGGCGGCAUCCUGGACCAACACUGACACUGAUGAGCGAAAGCCAGGGGAGCAAACGGG
rnacentral:rRNA from 1 species